UCCCUGUCUAGGGUUCAGCAGUAGAGGUACGGCCAACCAGUAGAGAUUAACAUACAUAGUGCCUACUGUUCAGAUGGAGUUACAGAAUUUUGUAUAAGCUGGAUAUUUCUGCACUCCAUCUUUGUUUUUAUCUCACAAACACAAGAAAGCAAGAAAAGAGAACAGAGAGAAAGAGUGAAAGAUGGCGUGCAGAGAUGAACAAUCACACAACCCCAGGCCACAGGAGAACAACAAACAUAAACUGACAAAACAAAACAGCAUUGAUAAAAGACUAAAUUUCUUGCAUGAUCACGGUGAACCAGUAAAGUCUCAUUCUGACAUAUCUGAGGUGGUCCAAGAUGAGAAAACUGCAGCACAUUAAAGAAUGAAAAUGUAACGUCAUGACUCCACCACCCAGUAGAUGAAUGUGGAACUGCUUGUAAAGUUCAUGAACAUGCUGGUGCUGAUGAACUCUCAGUGUAAAGCUUAGAGGAUGAUGGUGCCCAUUGACUGAAGUCGAUGAAGCUGUGAGGACAACACAGUCAAUGACAUCAAAGGUCACAGGCUAUUUGUUUUAGUCACAGUCCUUUCCUAUUAACCGUUAUGUGCUUUCAGUGGCGGAUUUAGGCAUGGGCAACAUGGGCAGCCACCUGGGGCAGCAUCUUGCCGGGGGCGGCACAGACAAAACUAAUUUUGUUGCCGGGGGUGGGGUUGGGUGGGGGGGGAGGGGUUCGCCCAGGGCGCCAUACAAGCUAGAACCGCCACUGUGUGCUUUCUAUAUGCACGUGUCAUUUAUAAGGCUGGAUCAUGUGCUGGAAGUAAAAACAAUAUUUUUUGUUAUAUUUUGAGUGAACAUGCGUUGGUUUUGGUCUUAUCAGGGCCUUAAAUUCAUAAAUGUAUUUACCUAAUUCAUUCCCCUCUUAAAUACCGCAAAUGGAAUUAUUUUGAAUGUAUUUAGUGUACUUUAUGGUCCUACAUUACAGUCACUUGUUUCCCUGCAAGGUGUGAUGCACUCAUGUGCUGACUGCAUUUCUGUUGUUGUUUAGAUUAUUGGUCGAUCUUUAUGGGUUUUUCAAUGACUGAUUUUUCAAAUGUGAGUAAUAGAUGAAGCUCUAGAGAUGUUAGAAGCAUCACAGGUGUUAUAAAAAUGAUGAAGGUGCAUUGAAGCUGAGCAGCUCUGAUAUUGCCUUUAUUGUCAAAGGCACUUUAAAAGUAACAGUAAAAUCUGCAUAUACAUUUAGUCAUUUUCAAGUGUUCAUCUCUUCCUUGCAACGUACAUACGUUCAAAAAUAGUAUUUGUGUUUUUUCAACACUACUAUUGUCAUAAGAUUGCUCAUUGGUUGUAUUGCACUAUUUUCAAUAAAGGUACUUUGGAACAAUAUUUAUUUUUAAAGCUCUGCUCUGUACACAUAAAUCUGAAUUGAAAAGGUUUCUCUGAUAUUGUAAUACAGGUUUUUGUUUUUUUAACUGUAAGGGGUCUGGAGAUGCCCAAGAGGUGCUAGGGGGGCCAAAGGAAAAUUUGAGA